GCCGAAAUGCCAGUGAGUUUCUUAGCCAAUUGAAGCAUUGGGGGCGGGUCUAAGACAAGCACAAACACCGUUCCCACUCACAGUGAAGGAGCAAGGAGGUGGCAUGAUGUCGUCAGACAGGGAUAAAAGGGCUGUGUUUGGUAAAGGAAUCGCGUUCGACCCCUGCCAGCUUCGAGACCCUUGGGAGAACAGAGCCCAGAAGAUCAGUGAGAAGGGACAGCAGGAGAAGGAGGGGCAGGGAAAUAGAGACCUGAAUCGGCUUAUUAAAGAGCGGCACAUUCGACUGAUGGCAUUGGAGAAGAAAGGAAAGGGCAGAAAUAUGGUGUAUUGUCCUCUACUGAAACGGUUUAGGCUUGAUCCUCCACUAGACGCAGCCCCGCCCCCACUUCCACCCCCACCCACUCCCAAGAAAUCACGACGGGUGAAGAUAGAGAUCCCCAAGCCAGUGGAGAAGAAGCCCACCCCACCUAAACCAUCACCUCCUCCUCUGCCCAAAGUCAUUCUCUCAUACAAAGACUUACAAAGACGAUCUGAGGGAAAAUGGUGGAGGGGUAUUAGGGAUAGAGAACUACCGAAUGGUCCAAGUGAAUGGUCAAAGCCCUUUAAGUGUCGACCACUGCAGUUCAGUAGAAUCCUUUACGACCAAACAAUGUCCUGGCAGCGGGGAUGGCCAACGUUCAGCCGGGAAAAAAGCAACAAACAACUGAAAGUUAAACCUUUGGAUGACAAAGUUAACCUUAAAGAGUGGAAGGAUUCUUGGAAGAUGUCCAGGCCUUUACCCAAGCAGCACACAGAAAAUAGGGGCAUUACAGAAAAAGUAAAGGCUUUCAGAGAGUGGCAGAAUCGCUUGGCAAUCAGCAGAAAUAGAACAUCUACGGCAGUGGAGAAGAAAGGAAAGUGCAGCGACAUGUCUAACUUCAGGUCUAAAGUGGCACCUCCAUCAACUAUACAGAAAUCUGAGCCACCAACUCAUGAGAAAAAACAUGAACCACUCCUUCAGCUGAGGAAAGAGAGCUCUGAGGAAAAUAAGCCCUCUGCACCCAAGAGCGCAAAGCCCCCAGCCCCACAACCCAAGGAGAAGAAGCUGCUUGCCAUAAAACCGUCACCUCCUCAGGAUGACACAGUAAAUCUUCCAUGGUGGAAGAAAGUUUGUAGGACGUCCAAGCCUUCACUCAAGCAGCACACAGAGAAUCAGAUGAUUGCAGAAACUGUUAAGACAGGGACGGGCGAUGACAUGUCUGACUCCAGAAAAAUUGUGAUGAGCCUUGACAAUGAUGCUGACAUUGAAGCAGCACAUUUGGAGACCAGGUUUGGAGACCCGGUUUGGAGGCCAAGUUUGGAGGCCAGGUUUGGAGUCCAUGCUAAGGUGGUACCUCCACCCACACCCCCCACAAAGAAACGUGAACCACCCAAGAAAUCGCAGUUUGAUGCCCCCCAAAAAACUCAGGCUUCAUCGGACAUACUUGAUGUCAAUAAAUGGUCAGAAGCCUGGAGGACUCAACCACUGUUGUUGAACAUUAAAGAACAAGUAUCUCUGGAGGCUUGGGAGCAGGAAUGGCCAGAGUUCACAGAGGAACAAAGUGAUAAACGACUGAAUGCUAAGCCUUUGAAUGACAAUGUAAAUCUUACAGAAUGGGGGGAUGCUUGGAAGACGCCCAAACAUUUAGCCAAGCAGCACACUGAGGACUUGACGGUUACAGAGACAGUAAAGCCCAAAGCCUUGACAGGUUGGAGAGAGGCAAGGAGGCUCUCUGGUGACAAUGUUCAAAAUAAUCCUCCAAGUCUGAAGGAUUGGCGUGACUCGUGGAGUUUCUGCCAAGAACAUCGCUGGUGGAAGGUUUCUAUGGACUCCCAGAUGUCAAAACAACUUUUUUCCCAUCUAAGGAAAAGGGGCGGAGGGCUUUUUUUGUUUUGUUUUUUGUUUUUGUUUCUUUGUUUUCUUGGACACAAUACGGACUGGGGACAAUAGGACUUAAUUACCAUGACAGCCGUGAAGCAAGCAAACAUUGCAAAUAAACAACACAACACAUUUAGGUUAAGACAUGAAAACAAUGACAACCAUGCAUUAUAACCUAAUUAACUUAAAGUAACUUUUUAAAGACCAAACUCAAAGAAAACUGUUAACAGUAUGUGAUGGGACAUGCAAGGAAAGGAAAGGAGAGGAAAGUAAAGGGAAGGAAAAUAAGGCUGGUAAAAAGCAAGAUGUUAUGGCAAGGAUUUUGUAAAGUGUAUGUACGCAGAUGGGAUUAGGCUGGGGGAGAUUGUGGGCUGAGAGCCCUUGGGUAAUGUUUUUGUCAGCAGAUAAACUUCAGAAAAGAUGGUGGAUAAAUGAAGUCUUAUUCAGGCCGUUUACCAUUGAAGAAAAUGGUCAUAGUUCCGGUCUACUUAUUAAGGAGUGGCUCUCGGGUCUGAACCAGAAAACAUGAAGGAGUGAGAUGUUUCGCUUCCUCCUCCGUCUCUGACUGUAGGCAGUUCCUACUCUCAUCAUGACCCAAACUGACAGAGCUGCACUAGUUCACUUCAAGAAACCUGAAGAAGCUUCCUUUUCAGAUAUGUAGUGUUUGAUAUUAGCAAAUGUGGGACACAUUUUAUUUUUAAGUGGGCAAGGAUUUGACAGGGUGUAGCUGAUAUUGUUGAGUUAAUUAACAUAGUCAUGUUACAUGCCUCCUAUUGGUCUGUUCGAACUGAUUCUUUGUGUUUUGUCUUAAUUGAUUGCAGGUGUGACUGCGGAGCAUGCGUCUCCUCCUGUUAUCUUAAAAUGGCUGCAUUUCCUGCCAACCAGGAAGAGGAAAAAAGAGCCGCUGCUACCUCCAAGUCCCCAGACUAGCUCUAGCCUAUGGACUGAACUCCCAAUCACAGUUGAAAAUAAUUAUAUCUAGUCUCUGUGUUUAUUGUGAAAUUCUGAGUACAUCUUGUCGGGUCAGUGUCUGUGAGGACUUGGAGACAGUCAGCAAAGGUAAUUUUUGUUUUUUUGUGUGUUUGUGGGCUUGGCUAUUCCAUGCAUGUAGCACUUUAAAGUCUUUCAGACAUUUUUGAGAGUAAUGAAUGCAUUUUUUGUUACACUUAAUACAGUUUGCUGUGCGUGCAAUAUAGAUGGGUUAGCUGAUAACGUCACAAAUGAUUUGUACGUUUCAAUGGUGAUUUCUGGAUGGCCAAACAGCUUCCAACAAUGACAAACUGCCUGUGGGGAAUCUGGAACUGUUUGUCUUCGUAAUGAAUCUACAGUAUUUGCCACAACCUGGGAUUGGAUUCAUCCCAUGACUGAAGCUUCCGUUUCUCAGCCAAUUAUAGCACAGGGGGAGGUGGCAUGAUGUCGUCAGACAGGGAUAAAGGGACAGUGUACGACAACUUCCAGCUCAGGAACCAAUGGGAGAACAGAGCUAAGCAGUUCAGUCAGAAGGGACAACUGGAAAAGGAGAGACAAGGAAAGAGUGCCUUGAAUGGGCUUUACAAAAAGUGGCAGUCUCGCCUGGCGAACACAAAUGGAGCCCCUACGGCAGCGGAGAAGAAAGGAAAGGGCAGCAACAUAUCUGACUUCAGAAAGGUUGCGGUGAUCCUAGACAUUGAUGCUGACAUCGAAAGAGCCAUGUUUAAGGUGGUACCACCACCAAAGAUUCCCAAACCUGCUCCAUCCCCACCACCCACAAAGAAACUACCCAAGAGGGCAAAGCCUCAAGUUCUCAAACCAGCCGGAGGCUGGGAUGAGUCAUGGAAGAGCCUGAAGCUCCCAGAGCAGGAAGUCCAACCUGAGGAAAAAUGGUGGAGGGAUUUGAAGCCAGAUAGAUACCUACCUCUCAGCGAAUGGGCAAGGCCCUUCAAAUGUCGACCACUGUUAUUCAGUUUCAUCCUUCACCAGCAAACAAAGUGGUGGCAGCGAGGAUGGCCAGUGUUCAGCUGGGAACAAAGCAACAAACUAUUGAAAGCUAAGCCUUUGGAUGUCAAAGUAAACCUUCUAGGGUGGGAGGACGCUUGGAAGACAUCCAAAUCUUUAUCCAAGCAACACAUUGAGAACCAGACGAUUACAGAAACAGCACAGCUCAAAGCCUUCUUCCCAGGCUGGACAGAAUCUUGGAAGGUCGCAGGUGAAAAUGUCCAAAACAGUGGCCAAUAUCUGAGGGAUUGGCACGAGUCCUGGAGUUUGUGCCAAGAACACCACUGGUACAAGGCCCCCAUAGACUCCCAGUUGAUGUCAAAACAUGUGUUGUCCAAUGAGUUGUUGAUCUCUCAGCUUGAUGAGGAUAUCCCAUCUUCAUCAGAUUGGAUAGAGUCCUGGAAAUCUGUGAAAUCUCAGUCCCAGUACCAAGAGUCCCAGUCAGAGCCCAAAGGGACUGAAUUAAAGGUAGAAAUGUCCCAUGUGCCACUGCAUUUGCAGUUCCACAAGCUUAACACGCCUUUCUCAAACUGGCACGAGUCUUGGAAAGUGUCAACUGCAAACAAUGAAGCAAUUGAAGAUGGAUGGAAAGGUUCCUGGAAGAUAUGUAGUCAGCAUCAAAAUGACACAAAUGCCCAAAGAGAUGUUGUGUUUUUCUCAAAUAAGUACAAGACCCAAAGGUUCCAGGGUGUUGACAGCAUGCCUCUGAGUGAAUGGUCUAAAUCCUGGAAGACCCCCAUGCCUCCCCAACAUACUUUCUUGCCAGGUUGGAAAGAAUCUUGGAAACAAAACAGCAAUCCAUAUUGGAAGGAUUGGCAUGAGUCCUGGAGUUUGUGCCAAGAACACCACUGUUGCAAGUCCUUUAUGGACUUCCAGUAUUGCCAUCAUGCUAUGAUGAUGUCAAAAUGCUUGCUGACCAAUGAGCUGUUGAGCUCCCAGCUUGAUGAGGAAAUCCCAUCUUCAUACGAGUGGAUUGUGUCCUGGAAAUCUGUGAAACCUUAUCCUCAGUCCCAGUCAGAUUCAGAAGAAACUGAAUCAGAGUUGGAAAUGUCCCAUGUCCCACUGCAUCUUCAGUUCUACAAGCUUAACACACCUUUCUCAAACUGGCAUGAUUCUUGGAAAGUGUCAACUGCGCAAGCUGUAACAGAUAAAGAUGAACAACAUCCUUCAACAGAAUGGACGGAUUCCUGGAAGAUAUCUUGGACGAACCUAAAUAGAAAUGACUUAAAACCCCAAAGGGAUGUUGUAUUUUUCUCAAGGCAUAAGACUGAAUGUUUUUUGAGUGUUGACUGUAUGGUCCAGAAUGAAUGGUCUGAAUGCUGGAAGACCAUCAAGCCUACCCAAUACACUACGACACAGGAGGAGGAGGAGGAAAAAGAUAGCCAUUCUGAUUCCUCUAAACAUUUGUCACAUCUAAUAGAGAUUCCUUUGAAUGAUUGGGCAGAAUCAUGGAGGUUCAAGCCAGAGGAUGAGAGCCCCACCUCACCCAAGAUGGCACAGCUCCUAGCUCCAAAACCAGAGGAGGAGAUGCUGAAAGCCAGCACACCAUCACAUCCUCAGCCUUACAAAUACAAUCUUAACCAGGCAAUCUGGGGUGAUUCCUGGAAAAUCCUGAAGCCCCCACAGAAGGAAGUCCCAUCUGGAAAAAAAUGGUGGAGGGCGUUUAAGCAGGACAGAAACCUACCUUUCAACGAAUGGGCAAAGCCCUUCAAGUGUCGACCACUGCUAUUCAGUCGCUUACUGCACACACAAACAACAUCCUGGCAGCAGGGAUGGCCAGCGUUCAGCCGGGAACAAAGCAACAAACUACUGAAUGCUAAGCGUUUGGAUAACAAAGUAAACCUUCCGAAGUGGGAGGAUGCAUGGAAGACACUCAAGCCUUUACACAAGCAGCAUACUGAGAACAAGAUGAUUACAGAAAGGGUACAGCCCGAUGGCUUCUUGCCAGGUUGGACAGAAUCUUGGAAGGUCGCAGGUAACAAUGUUCAAAACAUCAAUCCAUAUCUGAAGGAUUGGCAGGAGUCCUGGAGUUCUUGUCAUGAACAUCACUCAUACAGGGCCUCUAUAGACUCCCAGAAUCGGCAGUAUCUCCCUGUAUCACUAAAACACAAGCUGUUCAAGGAUCUGUUGGUCUCCCAGCUUGAUGAAAACAUUACGUCCUCACCAGAAGGGGUAGAGUCCUGGAAAUCUUUGAAAAAUCAACCUCUGUCCCAGGCAGAGCCCGAAGAAAUUGAAUCAGAGAUAGAUAUGCCUGAUGUGCCACUGCAUCUCCAGUUCCACAAGAUUAACACACCUUUCUCAGACUGGCACCAGUCUUGGAAAGUGUCAACUGCAGAAAGUGAAGGCGAAAAACAACAGAGAGAAUGGAAUGGUUCCUGGAAGAUAUAUUGUCCGUAUCUGUCAAAAAACAACACAAAAGCCCAAAAUGAUUUUGUGUUUUUGUCCAAUAAGCAUAAGACUUACAAGUGCCUGGGUGUCGAUCAUGCUGAAAACAGCAUGCCUCAGAAUGAAUGGUCUGAAUCUUGGAAGACAAAGCAGCACCAGCAGCAGUUGGAGGACUGGGCAGAGUCUUGGAGGUUAUCUGUCGCCCCAGAAUCCAACAACUCAGUAUCACUGGACCGGUGGAAACAAUCAUGGAGACUCUCAAAACCAAAUCACCCACAUCAGCUUAACCAGGGCACAGAGCCUCUCAUACACAACAGCCCCAAACACCACAUGCAACUCCACGAGGUUGAACUGCCCCAGGCAGAAUGGAGCAACUCCUGGCAGUACCUCAAGUCAGACACUCUGGAUCCUAACACGAAAAAGGAAACAUACAUACAGUAGAACAUUAUAAAAUGUAUGUCAAAUGAUCAGAUAUGCAUUUGAUCCUAUACUAUUUUUACUUCAUGUCAAUAUACAUACUUGUUAAAUGUCUUAUUGGACACAUUGGAGUGAGACUAGCAGCAUUCUCUGCUGCAGGGAGGAGGUUGGGUUGGAUGAAGUGUAUAACACGUGGUUUGCAUUGCUCUUGGAAACUUUAAAUCUAAACUAAUUACUUCUAUUCUAUUGACUGAAAUGUUGUUUUCUACCUGCUGUUGUUGCUACUUCUAUUAUUGCUGGUUGUCUUUGUGACUAAAUUAAUGCUUGAUUGACGAACACUUUAUCCAUCUGGGAUUAAUAAAUACAUUUAAUUAUCAUA